AAGUAAAACUUAUUUGAUCUGAAGUAUCUUUCACUACAACAAAAAUGGUCUAUAGCGACACUUUUAAAUAUAGGUACAUGUCAAAAAAGUACUGCUAGCUAAAAUUACUGACACUUUUAAAAAGUGUUGCUAUAUGUGGGGUCGCUAGGUAUAUAGUGACAGUUAAAGAGUGUCGCUAUAACCUAAAAGAGUGCUGCUAAUUUACCAACACUUAUUUAAGCAUUUAGCAACCGCCGAAACUCUAUUUCGUUGGCAGCGGUGGCGGAGGAGGACGACAGGAAAGGCUCUUCGUCUAGAAUUUCAGUGGAUUGAGUGAAGAGAGAAGAAAAGAUGGUAAUUAAUUUUUCUUUUUUUUUUUCUUUUCUGUUUGUAAUCGGGUCAAAUGGACUGGGUGUGGUGGGUUGAGUAGAGUAAUCUUUUAUUUUUAGUUGGAUUGGGCUUUAUAUUUAGGCAUAAGUAGAUGUUUUUUUAAAUUUUAGCAUAAAUGGGACACUUACUCAAAAGUGUCCCAAACAUGUGUCCCUAUAAUCUAAUUCUGUUGUAGUGUUUAGUUGAAAUCUUUUAUAAAUACUAUCAUCGUUCCCACAUC
rnacentral:lncRNA from 1 species